rnacentral:lncRNA from 1 species
CAGCAAUGGGAAAGUGACCUUGCACCUGAUUCACUCUUGAAACAGUUUUUAAUUUUGACUGCCUUUUCUUUUCCUGUGAUGUUCUUUUAUCUUUGACCAGUACUUCACUUUAUAUAAAAUACAUGAUUGCAGAAGAUUGCUCACUGGAAAGGAGAUGUUUGGAAAAAUGGACCACCCUUCCUUGUUCCGUAGGAAGCUUGUAUCUGUGCUAAAAAAGAAACAGCACUCCACCCUAUCUGGUGAGUUACAGUAUUUCCGCUAGCACAUACAAGUUACAUGCUUGGUUUGAGAUGGCUGGAGAGAUGAACUUAAGAGGUAUUUCAGUGUUUAACUUUGCUCACCUGGCCCUGGUCUGCUGAGGCAUCUCGGGCUGGCAGGAGGGAUCAGAGGCACAGCUUGUAGUCCAGGUCAGUGUUCUUGCAGCCACUUGCUUUCAUUAUUUAUCUUUUGAGGAGAGUCAUCACUUAAACAGGAGAUCUUGACCUGGCUAAGCUUAUUUCACUUACAGCCUGAAUACCACUCUAGUGCCUGUCAUCAAGACUAGUUGUACCAGAGCUCUGCACUCUUCAUCUCGGUGUUUAUCGAGCUCUGGGGGAGUAUGGGUGUGGCUCUGGAAAUGGGCAGUAAGCAAGCACUGACUGGAACUUGGGAAUUGCUGAAGUCCUGCACAGCUUCCUGUGCUGACAGGAGAGCAGGAGCAGAUGCUGGAGGUGGAAGAGCUUCAUGGGAGAAAUGAAUCCACCAGGAAAGCAGUUGUGGAAAACUCAUCAUGUAAUUAUGCUGAAUGGGCUGUGUCUAUGCUUUAUGAAUCACUUGAAUGUUUUUGCAAUGAAUCAAGAGGAAAAGAUGACAAAUCCACUGCAGCUAUUGUAUCCAAUGGAGCAGAUGAGCAAAUCUCACAAACUAGGGCAUCUGAAAAGUCUAGAAUGAGACAAGGAUCUGCCAUCUACUUUGACAUUCAGAACUAAACAAAAUAUGUCUAAAUAACUAUGAAACUGGAAAAUAUGGUAAUUUGCUGCUGAAAGAUGGAUUACGUGUUUCCUGUCAAAAGCUUGUCAGUGGGACAAUACACAAGAAAAACAGUUGGUUCUAAGCACUUUUUGAAUGUUUUGUCACUAACAAAAUAUUAUUCUAAGGAGUCUCUGAAUUUGGAGGAUAUGUCAUUUAGAAGGCUGUUUUCAGUUCUUCUCUGGUGUCCAAAAAUACUAUGUUACCAUGCCUUGAAAAAAAAAAUUCUAGACUGAACAACAUUCUCCAAUAAAAGCAUUCCUUCAGGAAACCCA